UAAAUGAUUUAACACGAAACGAGUGGCGAACUGGUGAGUAACACGUGGGUAACCUGCCCUUGAAGUACGGGAUAACACUUGGAAACAGGUGCUAAUACCGUAUAACAACCAAAACCACAUGGUUUUGGUUUAAAAGAUGGCUUCGGCUAUCACUUUAGGAUGUACCCGCGGCGUAUUAGCUUGUUGGUAAGGUAAUGGCCUACCGAGGCAAUGAUACGUAGCCGACCUGAGAGGGUAAUCGGCCCCAUUGGCACUGAGACACUGAUCAAACUCCUAGGGGAGGCAGCAGUAGGGAAUCUUCCACAAUGGACGAAAGUCUGAUGGAGCAACGCCGCGUGAGUGAUGAAGGGUUUCGGCUCGUAAAACUCUGUUGUUGGAGAAGAACAGGUGUCAGAGUAACUGUUGACAUCUUGACGGUAUCCAACCAGAAAGCCACGGCUAACUACGUGCCAGCAGCCGCGGUAAUACGUAGGUGGCAAGCGUUGUCCGGAUUUAUUGGGCGUAAAGCGAGCGCAGGCGGUUUCUUAGGUCUGAUGUGAAAGCCUUCGGCUUAACCGGAGAAGUGCAUCGGAAACCAGGAGACUUGAGUGCAGAAGAGGACAGUGGAACUC
rnacentral:rRNA from 2 species